rnacentral:lncRNA from 1 species
GCAAUAAAGGUGCUUGCCACAGUUCCCCGCUCCUUCUGCCACGGGACCAGCCUCAGGGACCUGCAGCCGAGCGGCUGGCUCUGCACGUCAUGCCGUGUUCCCCCCAUGAGAACCAUGGAGGAAAAGAAACCAGAUUUAUACUCGUUCCUGAAACAACCACAAAAAAAGGACAAAAUAUUUGAAAAAAUUGGACAAGAAACUGGAAAUCAUAAAAUGAAGGACUGUGAUAUCUAAGGGACAAGAAACAAGUGAGGUAAGCCUUAAACUUGUCACAGUUUAUGGUGUGGAGAGAUGCAAAGCCAAAGGCGUGAUAAUCUCUGAGGACCCUCUGGGCUGGGGAGACGGAGGCGGACGCCCAGGGAGACGGAGGUGCCAGAGAUGGCAGAAUAGAGCAAAAGAGCAAAUUGUAGACAAAUAGAACACAAAAUUUAAAGUUGAUUCCAGUUACAGCCGAAUCAAGAACAACAAAUAAUUAGGAAUAAAUCUAAAGAAAAAGGUAUACUUAAUUAUUCCCUGUAAACUAACAUGUACUACUGAGAAAUUUUAAAGAAUGCCCAAAUAAAUGGAAAGACAGACCAUAUUCGCUAAUUGGAAGACUCAAUAUUGUCAAGAUGUCAAGGCUGCUGCUUCACUAUCACCAGAAUGACUAAAAAAAGAAAAAAGAAAAAUCGACACUUCCAGGUGUUGGUGAGAGUGUGGAGCAAUGAAACCUCACGCGCUGCUGUUUCUUUCAUUUAACUCUUUAAUCCCUCUGGAGUCACUUUUGAUGGAGAAGCCUGGUGAGGAGUGAUCAUCGAACUACAUACAUAUUCUC